rnacentral:rRNA from 1 species
CUGACGGUGUGCUUUAGACAUGCAAGUCGAACGAGAAAGCCCUUCGGGGUUAGUACAGUGGCGGACGGGUGAGUAACGCGUGAGAAUCUGGCUUCAGGUCUGGGACAACCACUGGAAACGGUGGCUAAUACCGGAUGUGCCGAGAGGUGAAAGGUUAACUGCCUGAAGAUGAGCUCGCGUCUGAUUAGCUAGUUGGAAGUGUAAUGGACUCCCAAGGCGACGAUCAGUAGCUGGUCUGAGAGGACGAUCAGCCACACUGGGACUGAGACACGGCCCAGACUCCUACGGGAGGCAGCAGUGGGGAAUUUUCCGCAAUGGGCGAAAGCCUGACGGAGCAAUACCGCGUGAGGGAGGAAGGCUCUUGGGUCGUAAACCUCUUUUCUCAGGGAAGAACACAAUGACGGUACCUGAGGAAU